rnacentral:rRNA from 1 species
CAGCAGCCGCGGUAAUACCGGCGGCCCGAGUGGCGGCCACUAUUAUUGGGCGUAAAGCGUCCGUAGCCGGGUUGGUUAGUCUCCCGGGAAAUCUGGCCGCUUAACGGUCAGAAUUCCGGGAGAUACUGCCAGCCUAGGGACCGGGAGAGGCCGAGGGUAUUCCCGGAGUAGGGGGGAAAUCCUAUAAUCCCGGGAGGACCACCUGGGGCGAAGGCGCUCGGCCGGAACGGGUCCGACGGUGAGGGACGAAGGCCAGGGGAGCAAACCGGAUUAGCUACCCGGGUAGUCCUGGCUGUAGACGAUGCGGACUUUGUGUCGGACAAGCUAUGAGCUUGUCCGGUGCCGGAGGGAAACCGUUAAGUCCGCCGCCUGGGGAGUACGGUCGCAAGGCUGAAACUUAAAGGAAUUGGCGGG